rnacentral:rRNA from 1 species
CCCCCCUGGGAGGGGAUACCCCCCUCUGCUCGGCCCGCCACAUACAUAAUCCGCACAACGAAAUUAUCUGCCAGAGAACUACUAGCGACAGCCUAAAACUCAAAGGACUUGGCGGUGCUUUACAUCCCUCUAGAGGAGCCUGUUCUGUAAUCGAUAAACCCCGAUAAACCUCACCACUUCUAGCUAAAUCAGUCUAUAUACCGCCUUCUUCAACAAACA